GGCUCGUUGGGCUAGGGGUAUGAUUCUCGCUUAGGGUGCGAGAGGUCCUGGGUUCAAAUCCCGGACGAGCCCG
rnacentral:tRNA from 1 species